rnacentral:lncRNA from 1 species
CGGGGCGGUCGGGUCCUCCCCAGCGGCACCUGCACCAGUGCACCUGCACCUGCUCCAGCAGCACCUGCCUCCUGACUUGGGACUCCACCUGCUUCCUUUCUCCUCGGCCGGGAGCCCCGGGGCUUUGACCCCCACAUCCUUGGGGCAGAAAGGGGCCAAAUAUUCUAAAACAAGGGAAACGUGGAUGUGUGCUUUUGUGUGGGUUCUGGAAGUGUCUGGGGAGGACGUGGUCCAGGCCUCUGCCCUGGGUUGAUCUCUGCAGCCCCUGAGCUGGGACCCAGGAUGCAGAGAGGAGGGCUGGAGCUGGGCGGUGCUCUGUGACCAGUCUGACCGGAGUUGGGGGUGGACCCAUUACAGGAGGUGGCGGGAGGGACAACCUGGGCUCUGGGGCCGCCUGGUGGUCGGGGGAAGUGGGGCGGGGUGCCUGGGAUCUGGGCUCUGGCUGGGAGGAUCCACAACUCAUUCUUUGGACAUUUUCUUUGCAGACUACGAAGCUGCACCGUGUGGGGCCCACUUUUUAUACAAGCGGGUGGCGGUGGAUCCAGGCGCAGACGGGAGUGAGGCGUGGCGGAGACGCGUGCACGCUGGGUCUGUGCACUUUUGCUGCUGCUGCUUUUUUUUUUUUUUUUUUUUUUUGAGAUGGAGUCUCGUUCUGUCACCCAGGCUGGAGUGCAGUGGCGCGAUCUCGGCUCACUACAACCUCUGUCUCCCGGGUUUAAGCGACUUUCCUGUCUCAGCCUCCCAAGUAGCUGAAACGACAGGCGCCUGCCACCAUACCCGGCUAAUUUUUUUAUUUUUAGUAGAGAUAGGGUUUCACCUUGUUAGGCUGGUCUUGAACUCCUGACCUCAUGAUCCACCUCACUCGGCCUCCCAAAGUGCUGGGAUUACAGGCGUGAGCCACAGCGCCCGGCUGGCUGUUGCUUCUUAACACCUUUAUUACUUUUGUAAUCAUGGGUAUGAGUUGAUUUUCUGGUCAGAAAUUUCAGUAGAGCUAAUUUCAUUUAAAUGUGUGAGAUGUGGUAAAGUUUUGACAAUAAAUACAAAUUUUGACAAAGCA